CCGGCCACAGGCGAUGGGGCUCGCCUUCGACCGCCCGCCCGGGCUGACGGCUCCUACCGACAG
rnacentral:ncRNA from 2 species